GGUAAAAGCCGUCCAAGCACCCUCUUGGCAGUGUGAUUGGAGACUUUUACCGU
rnacentral:pre_miRNA from 1 species